rnacentral:rRNA from 1 species
CCUACGGGAGGCAGCAGUGGGGAAUAUUGGGCAAUGGAGGAAACUCUGACCCAGCGACGCCGCGUGCGGGAUGAAGGCCUUCGGGUUGUAAACCGCUUUCAGUAGGGAAGAAGCGAAAGUGACGGUACCUACAAAAGAAGCACCGGCUAACUAUGUGCCAGCAGCCGCGGUAAUACAUAGGGUGCAAGCGUUGUCCGGAAUUAUUGGGCGUAAAGAGCUCGUAGGUCGUUUGUUACGUCGGAUGUGAAAACCUGAGGCUCAACCUCAGGCCUGCAUUCGAUACGGGCAAACUAGAGUUUGGUAGGGGAGACUGGAAUUCCUGGUGUAGCGGUGGAAUGCGCAGAUAUCAGGAGGAACACCAAUGGCGAAGGCAGGUCUCUGGGCCAAUACUGACACUGAGGGGCGAAAGUCUGGGGAGCGAACAGGAUUAGAUACCCUGGUAGUCCAGACCGUAAACGGUGGGCACUAGUUGUGGGAACCUUCCACGGUUUCUGCGACGCAGCUACGCAUAAGUGCCCGCCGUCGGGUAGGUACGAGUCGCGAAGAAUUAAACUAACAAAGGAAGUUAGACGGCGUGAGACGUCGCCGAACGGACGACGACGAGGGAGGUAGG